rnacentral:rRNA from 1 species
CGCAGCCGCGGUAAUUCCAGCUCCAAUAGCGUAUAUUAAAGUUGUUGCAGUUAAAAAGCUCGUAGUUGAAUUUCGGGGUCAGUAGGUUGGUCAUGCCACUGGUAUGUACUGGCCUCACUGAUUCCUCCUUCCUGAUGAGCCGUAAUGCCUUUAAUUUGGUGUUGCGAGGAAUCUGGACUGUUACUUUGAAAAAUUAGAGUGUUUAAAGCAGGCUAACGCUUGAAUACAUUAGCAUGGAAUAAUGAAAUAGGACGUUCGAUCUUAUUUUGUUGGUUUCUAAGAUUGACGUAAUGAUUAAUAGGGAUAGUUGGGGGCAUUAGUAUUCAAUUGUCAGAGGUGAAAUUCUUGGAUUUAUUGAAGACUAACUACUGCGAAAGCAUUUGCCAAGGAUGUUUUCAUUAAUCAAGAACGAAAGUUAGGGGAUCGAAGACGAUCAGAUACCGUCGUAGUCUUAACCAUAAACUAUGCCGACUAGGGAUCGGGAUGAUUGUUUAAUUUUUUAAUGUACUCA